rnacentral:lncRNA from 1 species
UGAUAGCACCCAGGCCUCUUGCCAAUAACUGACUCCCCUGAUGCAGGGCUCUAGUUUUCUAGUACUACUUAUUUCAUUUCCCCUUCAGGGAUUCCCUUAAACCUGCUCACAUAAUCUCAGGGGGCCUAGCAAUUGGCAAAAGGGCUUUUUCUGUGGGUUAAAAUUGUGAUUACCAGAGAAACCUGGUUUCAGGCUUGUCCACCAUCAUGUCUCGUUCUUUCCCAGAGGGUACCCUUGUUUUAAUAGUCUGGUAUUUAUUCAUCUAGAUAUUUUCUGAUGUAUACACAUCAGUUUAAAACACGGAAGUUGGACCUCACUGUUUAUAAGAACUCUCUAAAACGUGCUUAUUUCUCCACUUAGGCUAUCUC